CCUUACCUGGCCUUGACAUCCAGAGAACUUUCCAGAGAUGGAUUGGUGCCUUCGGGAACUCUGAGACAGGUGCUGCAUGGCCGUCGUCAGCUCGUGUCGUGAGAUGUUGGGUUAAGUCCCGUAACGAGCGCAACCCCUAUCCCUGGUUGUUAGCAGGUAAUGCUGAGAACUCCAGGGAGACUGCCGGUGACAAACCGGAGGAAGGUGGGGAUGACGUCAGGUCAUCAUGGCCCUUACGGCCAGGGCUACACACGUGCUACAAUGGCGCGUACAGAGGGCUGCCAACUCGCGAGAGUGAGCCAAUCCCUUAAAACGCGUCGUAGUCCGGAUCGGAGUCUGCAACUCGACUCCGUGAAGUCGGAAUCGCUAGUAAUCGCGAAUCAGAAUGUCGCGGUGAAUACGUUCCC
rnacentral:rRNA from 1 species